rnacentral:rRNA from 1 species
UGGGGAAUAUUGCGCAAUGGGCGAAAGCCUGACGCAGCGACGCCGCGUGGGGGAUGAAGGCCUUCGGGUUGUAAACCCCUUUCAGUCAGGGAGCGAAGCGAAAGAUGACGGUACCUGCAGAAGAAGCGCCGGCUAACUACGUGCCAGCAGCCGCGGUAACACGUAGGGCGCAAGCGUUGUCCGGAAUUAUUGGGCGUAAAGAGCUCGUAGGCGGUCUGUUGCGUCCGCUGUGAAAACUCGGGGCUUAACCCCGAGCCUGCAGUGGAUAC